AGUUGUGAGGGCGAUCUGGCUGCGACAUCUGUCACCCCGUUCAUUGAUCGCCAGGGUUGAUUGGGCUGAUCCGGCUGGCGAGGCGGGUGUCCCCUUCCUCCCUCACGGCUCCCUGUGCGUCCCUUCCAAGCUGCGCGCUCGGUGGAAGAGGACGACCUUCCCCGAUAGAGGAGGACCGUCCUUCGGUCAAGGGUAUCUGAGUAGCUGCGUUCCCCUGCUAGAACCGCCAAACAAGCUCUCAAGGUACCGUGCUUUAUAAAUGAACUUUUUUGUUGUUUACUUAAUAUUUUCACAAUGACAGCUAUUUAUGAAUUUUAUGGUAAUAAAAUAAGUGUUUC
rnacentral:snRNA from 1 species